rnacentral:rRNA from 1 species
GACGAACCGUGCGAACGUUAUUCGGAAUCACUGGGCUUAAAGCGCGUGUAGGCGGGACGGCACGUCGGCCGCUGAAAUCCCCCGGCUCAACCGGGGAAGGGGCGCCGAUACGACCGCCCUGGAGGGACGUAGGGGGACCUGGAACUUCCGGUGGAGCGGUGAAAUGCGUUGAGAUCGGAAGGAACGCCCGUGGCGAAAGCGAGGUCCUGGACGUUUUCUGACGCUGAGGAGCGAAGGCGUGGGGAGCGAACAGG